AUUGAACGCUGGCGGCAGGCCUAACACAUGCAAGUCGAGCGCGAAAGCCCUUCGGGGUGAUUAGAGCGGCGGACGGGUGAGUAAUGCUUGGGAAUCUACCUAGUAGUGGGGGACAACAGUUGGAAACGACUGCUAAUACCGCAUGCGCCCUACGGGGGAAAGGGGGGGAUCUUCGGACCUCUCGCUAUUAGAUGAGCCCAAGUCGGAUUAGCUAGUUGGUGGGGUAAAGGCCCACCAAGGCGACGAUCCGUAGCUGGUUUGAGAGGAUGAUCAGCCACACUGGGACUGAGACACGGCCCAGACUCCUACGGGAGGCAGCAGUGGGGAAUAUUGCACAAUGGGCGCAAGCCUGAUGCAGCCAUGCCGCGUGUGUGAAGAAGGCUCUAGGGUUGUAAAGCACUUUAAGUUGUGAGGAAGGGGUGAUGGUUAAUAGCCAUUAUCAUUGACGUUAGCAACAGAAUAAGCACCGGCUAACUCCG
rnacentral:rRNA from 1 species